GAUAUGAUAUUAAUCAUUUUAUCUUGCAACUUCUGUAAAGUACACUAGGGUGGAAAAUGCCAUGAAAAGUUCUUGAGGAGGGGGAAUAAGAUAUUUUAAUAAAUAACUGUCAUAUAGCAGAAUUUCUUAUAUAGAUCAGGUUUUUUCUACCCCACUGACUUACUUGAUAUCAUAUCAAUGGUAUUCUUCAAGUUGUCUAUAUGGAUGCCUGAGAUGAGGAUGUUUGCUUGCAAUUGCAUUCUUAAUUGGAGUUUUUUGUUUUGGCUAGUAGUGUCAUCAAGUUCAUAAGUGGGAGCUGACAGACAUGCUAUUUUGAAAGAUCAGCCUUACCAGGGGCCUUCCCCAGGUAGACCUUUUUUCCAUGCCUUCCAACUUAAAAUGGCAGUUUUCUCAGAGCAGAGUGUGGAAGAUGCACAGUUGUGACUCCCUGGGAGAUGGUCUUCUGGCACAUUGGUCCCUUAUAUGCUUUCCCUCCAAUUUCACUGAUCCAUAAAGCCCUGCUCAAAGAGAAAGCCAUGAUCAUUUUCAUAACCACAGUGUGGCCAAGAUCAAUGUGGUUCCUGACCCAUCUGGUCUGCCUCUACCUUCUUGUAAUAAUUGAUCUUCUGGCUCUGUAGUAGGGCUCCAUAACCUGCCCCAGUUUAUCAUCCCAGCUUCUCAGGCCUAGAGCAGGAACGUUGUUCUGAAGUUCAGGUGUGUGUGUGUGUGUGUAUAUGCCAGGGGAGAAUUGGUAGAAGAUGCAUAAUGUUGAGUGUACCAGAUCUGGAAGUACUUCUACUCUUGCAAGUCCUUUUUAAAUAGCGGGAAAUCUUCAGCUUUUGUACUAAUCCUGAAAUUGAUGGGCUUGUUCCUGAGCUCUGUCAGGGUUCAUUUAUCUUCCAUUACAGCUUUCCAUCUGCCACUC